CAACCAACUAGCCAUCUUCUUUUAGAUUUUUUUCAGGGAAAGAGACCACCUAGAAUCCUGAAAGAAUGGUCCGUAGAUGGACAGACUCACUCUGUGAAGCAGGUGGAUCUCAGUGGAACGAGGGGUGGCCGCUUCUCUCACCUUCCUCAGAAGUCCCCAGACUGAAGUGAGCUUUAUUUACAUUUCAGAAGAAACACCAGACUCUGGGUCUAGAUAUCAUCUCUUCCCAGUUUCCCAGGAGCGUAGCCUGGGGUCCUCCUGUCUGGCAGCCUCUGCGCCCUGGCUGUGUGGCUGAGCCUGCUGUUUGCCAGUUUCCUCCUGGUUUCCAGCACACAUCGUCGUUGCUACUUUUGAUUACAUUCCCAGUCUCUUUUCAAGUUUAUUUCCCUUAGGUCUUCUGACUUGCUUGGAGCCAGGAGGGAGCAGAAGUGGCUUGAACCUCUGGGGAAGGCUGGUGAGUUGGGGGAUGAUGGAGGAGGUGGGGGAGAGGGGCCAUUCCCACUUCCCACUUUGGGAGGAGGCACUCCAGUACCUUCCUGAUGUCCUGUCCAAUAUUCAUAUUCUGGAGCGGGGGGCGCUGAGCGCUGAGCUAAGCCAUUGUCUCAGAUGUUCAUGCUCCAACUCCUGC
rnacentral:lncRNA from 1 species